ACUCCUACGGGAGGCAGCAGUGGGGAAUUUUGGACACUGGGCGAAAGCCUGAUCCAGCAAUGCCGCGUGAGUGAAGAAGGCCUUCGGGUUGUAAAGCUCUUUUGUCAGGGAAGAAACGGUGAGAGCUAAUAUCUCUUGCUAAUGACGGUACCUGAAGAAUAAGCACCGGCUAACUACGUGCCAGCAGCCGCGGUAAUACGUAGGGUGCAAGCGUUAAUCGGAAUUACUGGGCGUAAAGCGUGCGCAGGCGGUUUUGUAAGUCUGAUGUGAAAUCCCCGGGCUCAACCUGGGAAUUGCAUUGGAGACUGCAAGGCUAGAAUCUGGCAGAGGGGGGUAGGAUUCCCCGUGUAGCAGUGAAAUGCGUAGAUAUGUGGAGGAACACCGAUGGCGAAGGCAGCCCCCUGGGUCAAGAUUGACGCUCAUGCACGAAAGCGUGGGGAGCAAACAGGAUUAGAUACCCGUGUAGUCCCA
rnacentral:rRNA from 1 species